AUGUAUUCACAGAUGUGAUGGAGGAGGCUUGGAUGAGUGACUCAAGGUUACCAGGAGUACUCAUCAGCAAAACAGUCAUCUAACUGGCUUUCCCCAGUUAUGGUGGGGAGCCAGGACCAGAGAAGGCUCCGCUGGUGAGGGCCCUUACCCAGCUGGUCUGAGAUAUGCUGGCUCUGCUGCCUGGUUUCCACUGGCAAACCCUUUUCCCACACCUCUCAUGUGAAUGGACUGCAGGAUAGAGCCUGGUCCUGCAAGGACAGGGGGUGUGUGAGUGGUUGGGUGAUACUUGGUGUCCAGCUGGGAUUAAACCACAGCAGAUCAGGCUUGUGACCUCCUGAGGAAGCUCAACAUACAAGAGUCCAUAGGAGCUGACCAGAUGUGUCCCAGAGUCCCGAGGGAAUUGGCUGACAUAGCUGCCAAGAUACUCCCCAUGAAAAGUCACAGCAGUAUCAGGUGGAGUCCCCAGUGACUCGAAAAAGGGAAACACUGUACCCAGUUUUAAAAAGGGAAAAAGAGAAUCCUGGGAACUACCAACUACCACUCUGUGCCUGGGAAGAUGCUGGAACAGAUCCUACUAGAAGCUGUACUGAGGCACAUGGGGAGAGGGAGGUGAUUCAAGACAGCCAAGGGAAGCCAAGAUGCUGUUUCAAAACUGCAGAAAUGUAUCACCAGCGACAGCAGAGACUCUACCCCGUUUCAAUGGAAAUGUGUGCACUACUUAUCUAAAAGAAAAACCUCUUCCACGCCCCAAGUUCACUGAAUUUUUCCACAGCAGCUGAUGAAAUACUUAGUGAUGUGUUUGAGCAACUUCAGGAUCAGACUGACUUAGCUCUUGUCCAGGCAAAGGCUGUACUUUCUUUAACAGAAGGUAAAACAAGUAAGGACUGCAAGAAUUGGUGUGACAUAUCUACCACACCACCACUUGUGUUGCAAUGCAUGCCCCAGUUCACAGAAAUUACUUCCUUGAAAGUAGUAGACAGGACCUGUUUUCUCUGAAGUGCUUUUAUUACAAGUAUUUCCUUCAGUUUUUACAAGCUACACCUUUAACAAACACUUAAUUUGUAUUUGUAUUUCCUUAACAAAGUCGAAGCCAUCAUGACAAUUCAUUCUUUCAAUUAACUGUAAGCUUCUGUUUAAAUUUGCAUUCAAACAUCUUUUCCCAUCCUCAGUGCACAACAGCAUAGCACACUGUCUCAGUUUUUGGAAAACAUAUUCAUAAUGCACAGCUGCUUUGGAAAUAUACAUUCUUUGCCCAACUCAACAAACUGAAUGUUGUGGCACGUUACUACACCAUCAUCUUAGCAACCAAAUCUUAUUAAGAAAAUAUAUUACUUGUCAACACAAUCUUCUCUCAAGAACCCAUCUUUCAUAAUCUGCUUGUUAUCAGGUUGUGUAAUAAUUUCAGACUACACAACUCCAGUGGCAGAAUAAACCAAAGGGAUUAAUGAAAUGCCUUUGUGCAAGAAGUACUCAGUAUUUUAGCACACAUAAACCAGGGAAUAAAA